rnacentral:rRNA from 1 species
UACGUAGGUGGCAAGCGUUAUCCGGAAUUACUGGGCGUAAAGCGCACGCAGGUGGUUGGAUAAGAUUGACGUGAAAGCUUCUGGCUUAACUGGAAGAGGUCGUUGAUGACUGUCCGACUUGAGACGAGGAGAGGGGUGCAGAAUUCCCGGUGUAGUGGUGGAAUGCGUAGAUAUCGGGAGGAAUACCAGUGGCGAAAGCGGCACACUGGCCUUAGUCUGACGCUCAGGUGCGAAAGCGUGGGGAGAGAAUGGG